UUGUAAUGCGUAUUCCAUUCAAUCCAAUGAAUCUAGGGAAAUCUAAGAGUUAAUUUAAGCGGACCUAAAUAAUUUGGAACAUUGUCAUUCACAAUUUAUUGAAAGAACAACUGAAAAUCAAUUUAGGUUGCAUAUGUGUCAUGUGUGGAGAAAAACCCUCUAGCUAGUCCGUCAUCUAUCCUUUCACCUUAAUUUCAUGCUUUUGUCAAUUCUGUAAUAUAUUUAAGUUUAAUUUACUUCUCGUCAAUACCAAACCCCCCCCCCAUU
rnacentral:lncRNA from 1 species